AUACGGAGGGUCCAAGCGUUAUCCGGAUUCAUUGGGUUUAAAGGGUCCGCAGGCGGGAAAAUAAGUCAGUGGUGAAAGCCUACAGCUUAACUGUAGAACUGCCAUUGAUACUGUUUUUCUUGAGUAUAGAUGAAGUGGGCGGAAUAUAUCAUGUAGCGGUGAAAUGCAUAGAUAUGAUAUAGAACACCGAUUGCGAAGGCAGCUCACUAAACUAUUACUGACGCUCAGGGACGAAAGCGUGGGGAGCGAACAGGAUUAGAAACCCCAGUAGUCC
rnacentral:rRNA from 1 species